AAUUCUCAACUCCCCUCGGAUUCCAUCUGUAGGGUGAGCUUGGACUUGGAGGUUUCUGCUGGCGUUCGCCGGCUCCUCUUGAAAUCAUUAGCUUUGAGUUGAUCUCGACGGCUUGACCGGUGUGAUAAACAUCUACGCCGAUUUGUGCCGUCCUGAGCGACGAAUGUUGGAGAUGCUCUGGCUUAUAACUGUCUUCACCAGAGGACGAUGCCCUGAAC
rnacentral:misc_RNA from 1 species